GAUGAACGCUGGCGGUAUGCUUAACACAUGCCAGUCGAACGGUCACUUCGGUGAUAGUGGCGGACGGGUGAGUAACGCGUGAGAAUCUGUCUUCAGGUCGGGGACAACAGUUAGAAAUGACUGCUAAUACCGGAUGUGCCUUUGGGUGAAAGAUUUAUUGCCUGAAAAAGAGCUCGCGUCAGAUUAGCUAGUAGGUGGUGUAAGAGACUACCUAGGCUCCGAUCUGUAGCUGGUCUGAGAGGACGAUCAGCCACACUGGAACUGAGACACGGUCCAGACUCCUACGGGAGGCAGCAGUGGGGAAUUUUCCGCAAUGGGCGAAAGCCUGACGGAGCAAUACCGCGUGAGGGACGAAGGCUUUUGGGUCGUAAACCUCUUUUCUCAAGGAAGAUGAUGACGGUACUUGAGGAAUAAGCAUCGGCUAACUCUGUG
rnacentral:rRNA from 1 species